CCCCUCCCAGGGUCGCCCCUGGAGAGUUUCCAGUAAUCCACCAGUCUCGGCUAGGGGAGGGAAAGUCAAGCAGAGGUUUACCCAUUCCAUUCCUAGCUUGGCCAGUGGAUAGCAAGUGGAAGACAAUCUGCUACAAAU